UUGAAAUUACCGGUGAGGGUUGUAGCUGGCCCCCUAAUAAGGGCAUGUGCACACUGUCUCUUUCUCUUGUUUGUUUUUUCAUUCUUUCCACUUGUGCACUGCUUGUAGGCAGCCUGGCAUUGUUCGGGUUGUCUAUGAUUUUAUUUUACAUACAUGAAUCAUUGUUGUACAGAAUGUGAUAAAAAAAUAAUAAUA
rnacentral:misc_RNA from 1 species